UACGAAGGGGGCUAGCGUUGUUCGGAAUCACUGGGCGUAAAGCGCACGUAGGCGGACUUUUAAGUCAGGGGUGAAAGCCUGAGGCUCAACCUCAGAACUGCCCUUGAUACUGGGAGUCUUGAGUAUGGUAGAGGUUGGUGGAACAGCAAGUGUAGAGGUGAAAUUCGUAGAUAUUUGCUAGAACACCAGUGGCGAAGGCGGCCAACUGGACCAUAACUGACGCUGAGGCGCGAAAGCUAGGGGAGCGAACGGG
rnacentral:rRNA from 1 species